UACAGAGGGUGCGAGCGUUGUCCGGAAUCACUGGGCGUAAAGGGCGCGUAGGUGGCGACCCAAGUCGAUGGUGAAAGCUCGCCGCUCAACGGCGAGUCGGCCACCGAUACUGGGUUGCUGGAGCGCUGUAGAGGCAGAUGGAAUUCCGGGUGUAGCGGUGGAAUGCGUAGAGAUCCGGAAGAACACCGGUGGCGAAGGCGGUCUGCUGGGCAGUUGCUGACACUGAGGCGCGACAGCGUGGGGAGCAAACAGG
rnacentral:rRNA from 1 species